GCUUCACUGCAGGCUGGCAUUGGGGUUCGGGCUUUUCUUGCGCAGUCUAGGUGGGAGGCUUUGAAGGUUUCCUUCCGGGGAAGCUGGAGCCAUCAGUGAGAGACCACUCUGGAAAGGCUAGAAUCCUAAUGGUGAUCCUUGAAUCAGGACACUUGACAUUGUCAGCUAGACAGUUUUUCUGGGGCGGAAGGCUCCUAAAAGGUAACGGAGCUGUGCAAAGGUUCCCUCAGUCUGGACGGAAAUCAGACGUGGAGUGUAAAGGCAAAAGGGAGCUUGACUGCAAGACCUACAAGUCGAGC
rnacentral:rRNA from 1 species